CUUCCGCGUGGCCUACACACACCCAGAGCUCCUCACAGCACACUUCGCGGUUGUGGGGCUGAGCAAGCCAUCUGUUUCCUGCCAGGCCCCUGACCGGUGCAGCAGCUGUUUGUCAAAGGAAGAGGGCAUGCUCCAGGUUCGAGCUGGAAAGACUUCCAGGGCACGUUCUUGAGAAGAGGGGCCUGGAGGCAGGCGGCGGGCAGGCGGCCCAGUCUGCUUGUAUCUGCGUGAAGGAGAGCCAGAGCACUGCACCAGAGACUGAUGGCGGGGCGCCUGAGCGGAAGAGAGGAGGUUCUGUUCCCAAUGGGUAUGUCACUUGGACCAAUCCUCCCAUUAAUAAAAAGCAGAAAAAACUGAACCAAAACUUAAAAAUCUGAUAGAAUGCACCAGAAAGCUAAAAAGAUCGUAAGAAUUUCCAUGCCAGGAGGAUGGCCCAGGAGGCAACGCUGCUAUCUAGGACUCUGCAGUCAGCAGAACUCUAUCUAGGACAGCCCCGAGACCCGUCUCUGGCGUGUGCAUGUGUGCAUAUUUUCUCCUGGUUACUCAGACAUUAAUGUGGCGUUUCUGUGAAAUGACUUUGCAAAUGUAAUUAAUGUAAUCCCAAAUCAGUUGACCUUUGAAGAGGUGGGCCUGACCUUAUCAGGUGAGUUGAAAGGGACAGGUUCUUCCUGGCAAAGAAGACUCGGCUUGAGCGAAAGUCUGUUGCUGGCUUGAAGCUAGAAGAGGCCGUGCAGCCAGAAUCCAGGCAGCUUCCAGGAACUGAGAGUGGCCCCUGGCUGGCGGGGCCUCCAUCCUACGACCUCAGGGAGCUGCAUUCGGCAACAACCUGCAUGAGCCUGAGUGAACUCAGAAGACCCUGAGCUCAGAUGAAAUGCAGCUUGGCAGACCCAUUGAUUCCAGCCUUGUGCUACCUCAGCAAAGAGCCUGGCCCAGGGCGCCCGACUUUUUUUGCCUUCUUUUUCCACAAGAAUGAGGUGCUCCCCAGUAGGGCCUUCCCCCCAGGACUUUCCCCAGCCUCAGCCACACGUGUGUGCCCAGAGAGCUCAGGGAGGAACUGGGACACAAACCCAGGACCUUUCCCGGGUGGGUCCAGGUGCAUUUCCACGCCCUGCUACGUGGCCCCAUGAGUGCCAGAUUUCUGGCCUGCAUGUCUGUGAGCGGGUGGACAGGUGACGUUUUCAGCCGCUAGAGCUGUGGCAACUUAUCACACGACACAGAAAUACAUUUGCUGCUUC